CCCUUAGAUGUUCUGGGCCGCACGCGCGCUACACUGACGAUGGCAACGAGUUUUUCCUUCGCCGAAAGGUGUGGGUAAUCUUUUGAAACAUCGUCGUGCUGGGGAUAGAUCAUUGCAAUUUUUGAUCUUGAACGAGGAAUUCCUAGUAAGCGCGAGUCAUCAGCUCGCGUUGAUUACGUCCCUGCCCUUUGUACACACCGCCCGUCGCUACUACCGAUUGAAUGGUUUAGUGAGGACUCCUGAUUGGCGCCGCCGCCCCGGCAACGGAGCAGUGGACUGCCGAAAAGUUGUUCAAACUUGAUCAUUUAGAGGAAGUAAAAGUCGUAACA
rnacentral:rRNA from 1 species